rnacentral:rRNA from 1 species
GGCCGCGGUAUCCUAACCGUGCAAAGGUAGCAUAAUCAUUUGUCUAUUAAUUGUAGACCUGUAUGAAAGGCAAAAUGAGAGCCCAACUGUCUCUUAUAACAAAUCAAUAAAACUGAUCUCCUAGUACAAAAGCUAGAAUACUAACAUAAGACCAGAAGACCCUGUGAAGCUUUAACAAACCCAUUAAAUCAAAUAAUGAUUACUUUCGGUUGGGGCGACCUUGGAAUAAAAAAGAACUUCCAACAUAUGACCUGCUCAUAAAAUAAGGCAAACAAGCCAAUACUAGACCCAGCACAGCUGAUAAUUGAAAUAAGUUACUCCAGGGAUAACAGCGCUAUCUUCUUUAAGAGCCCAUAUCAAAAAGAAGGUUUACGACCUCGAUGUUGGAUCAGGACAUCCCAGUAAUGCAUCCGUUACUAAAGGUUCGUUUGUUCAACGAUUAACAGUCCUACGUGAUCU